rnacentral:rRNA from 1 species
ACGAUGACGGUGGUGCUUGCACCGCCUGAUUAGUGGCGAACGGGUGAGUAACACGUGAGUAACCUGCCCUCCACUUCGGGAUAACCUCGGGAAAUCGUGGCUAAUACCGGAUAUGAGCACUCAUCGCAUGGUGAGUGCUGGAAAGAUUUAUCGGUGGGGGAUGGACUCGCGGCCUAUCAGUUUGUUGGUGAGGUGAUGGCUCACCAAGACGAUGACGGGUAGCCGGCCUGAGAGGGCGACCGGCCACACUGGGACUGAGACACGGCCCAGACUCCUACGGGAGGCAGCAGUGGGGAAUAUUGCACAAUGGGCGAAAGCCUGAUGCAGCGACGCCGCGUGGGGGAUGACGGCCUUCGGGUUGUAAACCCCUUUCAGUAGGGAAGAAGCGAGAGUGACGGUACCUGCAGAAGAAGCGCCGGCUAACUACGUGCCAGCAGCCGCGGUAAUACGUAGGGCGCAAGCGUUGUCCGGAAUUAUUGGGCGUAAAGAGCUUGUAGGUGGCUUGUCGCGUCUGCCGUGAAAACCCGAGG